GAAGAUCAAACUGAAGAUCGAGCUGUAGAACUACCGAGCUAACCGAGCUUUCUCUUCUCCGAACUGAAGAUUUCGUCAAGAUUUCUUGUUGCAGAACUUGAUUUCAGACAAAUUUAGGGUUUACCGGAAGUAUAAUCAACAUAUAGAAAUAUUUUUGGAGGAUUCAAGGUUUGAUUUGGCAUAGCACAAGAGCCAUGACUAGGU
rnacentral:misc_RNA from 1 species